GACGAACGCUGGCGGCGUGCCUAAUACAUGCAAGUAGAACGCUGAAGGAGGAGCUUGCUUCUCUGGAUGAGUUGCGAACGGGUGAGUAACGCGUAGGUAACCUGCCUGGUAGCGGGGGAUAACUAUUGGAAACGAUAGCUAAUACCGCAUAAUAUUGACUAUUGCAUGAUAGUCAGUUGAAAGGUGCAACUGCACCACUACCAGAUGGACCUGCGUUGUAUUAGCUAGUUGGUGGGGUAACGGCUCACCAAGGCGACGAUACAUAGCCGACCUGAGAGGGUGAUCGGCCACACUGGGACUGAGACACGGCCCAGACUCCUACGGGAGGCAGCAGGAGGGAAUCUUCGGCAAUGGACGGAAGUCUGACCGAGCAACGCCGCGUGAGUGAAGAAGGGUUUCGGAUCGUAAAGCUCUGUUGUAAGAGAAGAAAGAGUGUGAGAGUGGAAAGCUCACACUGUGACGGUAUCUGACCAGAAAGGGACGGCUAACUACGUG
rnacentral:rRNA from 1 species